CAUACGGGUGGCAGCAGUGAGGAAUAUUGGUCAAUGGCCGUAAGGCUGAACCAGCCAAGUCGCGUGAGGGAAGAAGGAUCUACGGUUUGUAAACCUCUUUUAUAGGGGAAUAAAGGUAUCCACGUGUGGAUAUUUGCAUGUACCCGAUGAAUAAGCAUCGGCUAACUCCGUGCCAGCAGCCGCGGUAAUACGGAGGAUGCGAGCGUUAUCCGGAUUUAUUGGGUUUAAAGGGUGCGUAGGUUGUUGUUUAAGUCAGCGGUGAAAGUUUGUGGCUCAACCCUAAAAUUGCCGUUGAAACUGGAAGCCUUGAGUGUGUGAGAGGUAGGCGGAAUGCGUGGUGUAGCGGUGAAAUGCAUAGAUAUCACGCAGAACUCCGAUUGCGAAGGCAGCUUACUGAGCCGUAACUGACGCUGAGGCACGAAAGCGUGGGGAUCGAACAGGAUUAGAUACCCCUGUAGUC
rnacentral:rRNA from 1 species